GAUGAACGCUGGCGGCGUGCCUAAUACAUGCAAGUCGAGCGAACGGACGAGAAGCUUGCUUCUCUGAUGUUAGCGGCGGACGGGUGAGUAACACGUGGAUAACCUACCUAUAAGACUGGGAUAACUUCGGGAAACCGGAGCUAAUACCGGAUAAUAUUUUGAACCGCAUGGUUCAAAAGUGAAAGACGGUCUUGCUGUCACUUAUAGAUGGAUCCGCGCUGCAUUAGCUAGUUGGUAAGGUAACGGCUUACCAAGGCAACGAUGCAUAGCCGACUGAGAGGGUGAUCGGCCACACUGGAACUGAGACACGGUCCAGACUCCUACGGGAGGCAGCAGUAGGGAAUCUUCCGCAAUGGGCGAAAGCCUGACGGAGCAACGCCGCGUGAGUGAUGAAGGUCUUCGGAUCGUAAAACUCUGUUAUUAGGGAAGAACAUAUGUGUAAGUAACUGUGCACAUCUUGACGGUACCUAAUCAGAAAGCCACGGCUAACUACGUG
rnacentral:rRNA from 1 species